AUGAACGCUGGCGGCGUGCCUAAUACAUGCAAGUCGAGCGAACAGACGAGGAGCUUGCUCCUCUGACGUUAGCGGCGGACGGGUGAGUAACACGUGGAUAACCUACCUAUAAGACUGGGAUAACUUCGGGAAACCGGAGCUAAUACCGGAUAAUAUAUUGAACCGCAUGGUUCAAUAGUGAAAGACGGUUUUGCUGUCACUUAUAGAUGGAUCCGCGCCGCAUUAGCUAGUUGGUAAGGUAACGGCUUACCAAGGCAACGAUGCGUAGUCGACCUGAGAGGGUGAUCGGCCACACUGGAACUGAGACACGGUCCAGACUCCUACGGGAGGCAGCAGUAGGGAAUCUUCCGCAAUGGGCGAAAGCCUGACGGAGCAACGCCGCGUGAGUGAUGAAGGUCUUCGGAUCGUAAAACUCUGUUAUUAGGGAAGAACAAAUGUGUAAGUAACUAUGCACGUCUUGACGGUACCUAAUCAGAAAGCCACGGCUAACUACGUG
rnacentral:rRNA from 1 species